rnacentral:tRNA from 1 species
GUCACAGUCGCCCAGUGGAAGGGCAUCAUCCUUCUAAGAUGACAUGCGUAGGUUCGAGUCCUAUCUGUGGCA